AAUUACGCUGUUAAUGUUUUAAUCUCUGUCUGCUUUGAAAGACCCCAGCCCAACAACCUCAGGCCUAGUUGCAAAACUACCGAGGCAUGUUGCAAACUUACGCAGGCACCAGGUGUGUUUUUCAGACAAUCAGUUAGGUGUAACCGGUUGAGAAAGCACAGAGGACCAGGGCCCAGGGCACGCCUGAAUAGGCAGGAACAGGAGGACCAGAGUGCUAAUAACGUGUAGCUUUUAUGUAGCUUUUCCUGUAACAUAAAGUGGAAAACAACUUUACCCUUUAGGUAACCUAUAUGCUGGGUUUAAAAUUAACUAAUAAGAAACCUAUUGCUUACGGUGCGCAACUGCCCCUUUACCCUAUAAAUAUCUCUGUACCCCCAAGCCCGGUGUGCCAGCUCACCAAAGCUCUGGCUGAGGUUCUGCUGGGCACCCGCAGGCGCCUGUGUCUCAAUAAACAAACCUCUUGCUUUUACAGCCAGUGUUUCGUGUGAUUCUCCUUGGACAGGGAAACGGGGGUUUUUCAUUUGGAGGUUCCACCGAGAUUGCCCCUCCCCCACCCUGUCCGGAUCCCUGCCCGAGGACCACCCAGCAUCACUGGGAGGAUUCAUUUGCACUCAACACAGCCAUUUUCCUGUAUGCGGUGGGAAGCCCGCCAGUCUCCCUUGGCUUCCACUGUGCAGUCAUCCAUUGAGGAGGCUACAUAUGGCCCUGAGGAUGAGAAGCAUCAACAUGGACAAGGUUCCUCAGAGAGAAAACCAGGCCAAACUUGAAGAUCAUUAAUGACUUGUGGAGUAGAUUUUUUUUUUCCUGGAGGAACAUAAUGAUUUUGUAUUUUAGACCUAGUAUAACCUAUGAAAGAGAAGUAGUAAUCACACAUGAACAUCUGGGUUAUAAAUUAAUGAUGUAAAAAUAAUAGAAAGUAAAAAGGCAUGUGUACUUUACACCAUGUGCUAAGAAUCUAAUAAUAUUUAUGAUGAAGACAUAUAAGUACAAUAAAAUCUGUGGAAGGGAUCAUGAAAAUAGGUUUAAAAUAAGGAUAGAAUGUUAAUAUAAUCAUGAUGAGGUUCUGGUCAGCAGGAUGUCAGUAGAGGUAGUGUGUGCAACUUUAAGGGUAUGUGUAUAUGGGAGUUAUCUGUGUCCUUCUCCUUCCUUUUCUUAUUCUUUCUGGUUUGGAUGAUGAUGCAAAGCCUGGAGAUGACACACCUAUCUUGGACCAUGAGAUGGAAUCUGCCUGUUGAAGAUGGUGAACAACAAGGUAGAAAGAACCUGGGUUCCUGAUGACUAUGCAGCCUGCUGACCAUUACCUGAAUGACUUGUGUCUACAUUUAUGUGUGAGAGAUAAAACUUUGAUCUUGUUCAAGCCACUGUUAUUUUGGAAAUUUGGUCAAAACUUGGAAUAAAUAAUUGCAAUAAGGUGUUUCCUAUUCUAAUAAUUUCUCAAUCACAAUGUAUUGUGUUAACCACACACAAGUGAGGAUGAUGAUAUUUAAAAAU
rnacentral:lncRNA from 1 species